AUGGCCCUGCUGCACUCUGGCCGCGUCCUCUCUGAGAUCGCCGCCACCUUCCACCUGGGCCUCGCAGCCACGGCCUCUGCCAGAGCGAGCUCCUGAUGGACUCGUGUGGAAAUGGGACCUCCAGAUAUCAUCCUGGGAGUCACUGAAGUCUUUAAGAGGGGCACCAAUAGCAAAAAGAUGAAUCUGCGAGUUGGUGCCUGCCAGGAUGAUAACGGAAACCUUACAUGCUGCGUAGCGUCCGCAAGGCAGAGGCCCAGAUUGCCACAAAAAGUUUGGACAAGGAAUACCUGUCCAUUUGGGGACUGGCUGAAUUUCACAAGGCAUCUGCAGAACUAGCCCUCGGUGAGACAGUGAAGUCUUGAAAAGUGGCCAGUUUGUCACUGUGCAGACCAUUUCUGGAACUGGAGCCUUAAGGAUUGGAGCCAGCUUUCUGCAAAGAUUUUUUAAGUUCAGCUGAGAUGUCUUUCUAACCAAACCAAGCUGGGGAAAUCACGCGCCCAUCUUCAGGGACACUGGCAUGGAGUUACAAGGUUAUCGGCUUUAUGACCCCAAGACUUGCGGUUUUGACGUCACAGGCGCUGUGGAGGAUCUUUCAAAAAUACCAGAGCAAAAUGUUCUUCUUCUGCAUGCCUGCACCCACAAUCCCACGGCAGUGGACCCACGUCUGGAACAGUGGAAGGAUAUAGCAACAGUGGUGAAGAAGAAGAGUCUCUUUGCCUUCUUUGACAUGGCCUACCAAGGCUUUACCAGUGGUGAUGGUGAUAAGGAUGCCCGGGCUGUGCGCCACUUCAUUGAACAGGGCAUUAAUGUUUGUCUCUGCCAGUCAUAUGCCAAGAACACGGGCUUAUAUGGUGAGCGUGUAGGAGCCUUCACUGUAGUAUGCAAAGAUGAGAUGAAACCAAAAGGGUAGAGUCACAGGUGAAGAUCUCGAUCCGUCUCAUGUAUGCCAGCCGUCCCCACAAUGGGGCCCAGAUUGCUUCUACCAUUCUGAACACCCCAGAUUCGUGAAAACAAUGGUUGCAAGAAGUGAAAGGCAUGGCCGACCACAUCAUUAGCUUGCGGACUCAGCUUGUCUCCAGCCUCAAGAAGAAGGGUUCCACCCACAACUGGCCACAUAUCACUGCCCCAAUCGGCAUGUUCUGUUUCACAGGGCUAAAGCCUGAACAGGUGGAGUGGCUAACCAAGGAGUUCUCCAUCUAUAUGACAAAGGGCGGCCGCAUCUCUGUGACAGGGGUCACCUCCGGCAACGUGGGCUACCUUGCCCAUGCCAUUCACCAGGUCACCAAGUAAUGUACCCAGUGCAAGGAAACAGAGACGACCUUUCUGUCUUCAGCCUCUGCUAUUGGGAGCUUCACACAGAGGAUGAGAGAGAGUGGAUGGUGAUAAAACUCUGCAAAGAAAAUGUCUAGCACUUACAUCUCCAGUAAUGCCUGUCAAGGUUUAUUGUUGCUUGUUCAUCAUUGCAGUCCUGACUACAAGUGUGAUUGCACUUUCUAUUGUUUUGUCAGAAUUUCCUGAAAAGAUACAAAGGCCCUUCUGACCGUUGGAUUGGCCUUAGAAGAGAAUCAUCCUAUCACAUUUGAAAAUGGACAGACAACAUGGAAUAUAAUAACACGCUUGCUAUCAGAGGAGGUACAGAAUGUGCCUUCCUGAAUGACAAUGUAGUCAACAGUGGCAGAAUCUGCAUAAACAGAAAAUGGAUUUGUAGCAAGCCAAACAGUUAUGUCUACAGUUGCCAGUUAUGUCCCCACUGGGAUACUACCUGGUAGAGCUGUGAGGAGAGGGCCACCAUCCUCCAGACUCCAGAAUGGUAGAUUCAGCAGCGGCUUCCACCAUGCCCCUGGAAAAACUGCAAGUAACAGACCUGCACAUGUAUCCCCUAAAUCUAAAAUAAAAAUUGGAAAAAAUGGAACUUUGAUGUUAAGAUGCACUGAUACAAAACUUAAAUUUUGGUCUCCUACAUUAAAACAAUAUGAGUCUCUUAAAAUACUGAUUUGUUCUUAGUAAGAUUACAAGAGGCUUUGAUUUUUAAUUCUACAAUGUUUCCUUAACAGCCAUUCUCUGAAUUACAAACUAAUUCCUAUUUCUGCCACAUUCCUUUCUGAGAACUGUCUAGUCCUGGUUUGGGGUUUAUCUUAAAGGUCUAGAAAGGCAACAUUUUACUUCCGCAAAACUUGAUUCUAUAUUGUUGUUUUUUCUUAAUGUGUCAAAAUUGUUUUGUUACCAGGACUUCCUAUGUUGUUGCUAAAUGUAUUCCCCUGAUAAAGGUAACUGGCCUAGAAAACAAAGAUUCUGUGUUUUACCAAGAUAAUACCCAGUGCUUCAUGGUGUCUUUAUUAGGCUUUGACUGCUUAGGGAAACUGAGCUUUAAAAGGGUAAAGGUUUUUACAUCCAUGUAACUUUCUGAGGUCUUUAGGUUGUCACUCUGAUUAAAUGAGUAGUAGUAUUAGCAGUGACUUAUAAUCUGUUGAAGGAAGUAUUUUAAGCUUUUUGACAUCUUUGGCAGGUUUCUCUAGAAUCCAAAUCCUAAAUUAAGCCUUUUGGCCUAAAGUUGACUGGGAGUUUUCCAGGUGGACCCCCUAGAUAUGCCCCUCAAAAGGCAUAUCUUUCUUGUAGAGAUAUUAAAUGAUUAGGCUUAUGUGGCAAAUACUACUGGAAACAUUGUCAAAUAAGAAAUGGCGUUUUACCUUUCUUUAAGCUAUGUUUGUGUAAGUUCAUCAUUUAUAGAAAUGUGAAAUUUCAUGAGAUUCCUAAGAUACUGACAUGCUGAGAUACCUGUAAUAAUUGCAAUUUUUAUGUUGGAUGAUUGCAUGCCACAGAAACACUUAAAUUUCCUUAUUAAUUGGUAACUUUAAUCAGAUCUUUACCUAUUGGCUGUUCUGGGUUUUUGUCAUUCACAGUUAUUAUUUUAAUUUCUUCUUUGGAAGCAUUCACAAUCAGCUAUGGUCCAAAAUUGCUAACUAAGAUCAAGCAAAACAAAAUUAAUUACAUAAAAUUAAGUCAUAAGGAUGUUUUUAUGACUUAAAUGUUUUAUUUUCCAGAGCCAAAGAAAUUUUCUGUCACAAGCUAUCUAUCAUUUGCAAUAAUUUGAUAAAUAAUCCUUUGUGAACAAA